UACGUAGGGGGCAAGCGUUGUCCGGAUUUAUUGGGCGUAAAGAGCGUGUAGGCGGCUAGGUAGGUCCGUUGUGAAAACUCGAGGCUCAACCUCGAGACGUCGAUGGAAACCAUCUAGCUAGAGUCCGGAAGAGGAGAGUGGAAUUCCUGGUGUAGCGGUGAAGUGCGCAGAUAUCAGGAAGAACACCCGUGGCGAAGGCGGCUCUCUGGUACGUGACUGACGCUGAGACGCGAAAGCGUGGGGAGCAAACAAG
rnacentral:rRNA from 1 species